rnacentral:rRNA from 1 species
GACGAACCGUGCGAACGUUUUUCGGAAUCACUGGGCUUAAAGGGCGCGUAGGCGGGUCAUCAAGUCGGGGGUGAAAUACUUCGGCUUAACCGGAGAAUUGCCUUCGAUACUGGUGGCCUAGAGGGAGGUAGGGGUCUGUGGAACUUCCGGUGGAGCGGUGAAAUGCGUUGAUAUCGGAAGGAACGCCGGUGGCGAAAGCGACGGACUGGACCUCUUCUGACGCUGAGGCGCGAAAGCUAGGGGAGCAAACGGG